GCCUGGGUGGCUUGGUCGGUUAAGUGUCUGACUUCGGCUCAGGUCAUGGUCCGUGGGUUCGAGCCCCGCGUCGGGCU
rnacentral:tRNA from 1 species